ACGUAGGGGGCGAGCGUUGUCCGGAAUUACUGGGCGUAAAGGGAGCGUAGGCGGUCGAUUAAGUUAGAUGUGAAACCCCCGGGCUUAACUUGGGGACUGCAUCUAAUACUGGUUGACUUAGAGUACAGGAGAGGGAAGCGGAAUUCCUAGUGUAGCGGUGAAAUGCGUGGAUAUGAGGAGGAACACCAGUGGCGAAGGCGGCAUUCUGUACUGACACUGAUGCUGAGGCUCGUAAGCGUGGGGAGCAAACAG
rnacentral:rRNA from 1 species